GUCAAGUCAGCAUGGCCCUUACGUCCUGGGCUACAAACACGCUACAAUGGCGCGGACAGAGGGUAGCCAAGCGGUAACGCGGAGCGAAUCCCAGAAACCGCGUCUCAGUUCGGAUCGAGGGCUGCAACUCGCCCUCGUGAAGGCGGAGUCGCUAGUAACCGCAGAUCAGCAUUGCUGCGGUGAAUAUGUUCCCGGGCCUU
rnacentral:rRNA from 1 species